GACUAUUUUAGUUUAUGGUUUUGAAUUGUGGUUGCACUUGCACUUGGCAAUUGUAUUAGCUCAUUAUUUUAGUAUUGUCUUGCUUGGUGUGGUUUACAAUUUAUUAGCAGUGGUAUGGGAAAUAUAAUUUUAAAUUCCCUAAAGUGAGUUGUAUGGUUAUGUCUACUUGAAAGCUUUGUGUAUUGAUCUGGUGCAAAAUUGAACUUCUUGAAUGUCAAUUCUAACAUGUUUAGUUGAGCUGUUUAGAGUUUCAA